rnacentral:lncRNA from 1 species
CUGGCCCCUGGCAUCUUCCCAAAAUGAGAAAUGAGAAACUUGACUCUCCUGACUUCCAGAUAGGGAUCACAUUGUUUUUCUACCAUCAGAAUAUAAAGUUAAUUCAUUGCCCCAGUUAAAUUUGAUUUUAAAAAAUUUCAACCUCAGUCUCAAUCUCUGUCUCUCUGUCUCUGUCUCUCUCUCUUGAUUGAGAUAUUUUUGUUGUUGUUUUAAACAGCUACUCUACAGACCCAGCAUCGUGUUUCAUGGAGCAUUUACUGGAGUGCUUAUUUUCAGUAAUUCUUUUCCUGGAUACUUUCCAAUUAUUUCCAGAGGACAAACUCACGCUGUGUGUAUAAGGAUCUCAAAAAAAAAAAAAAAAAAUCUUCCUGGCAGGAAGAAGAGCUCUGAUGAAUUCAACUUUGGGAGGGAAGAAUGUCGGAGGCUGGUUGGAGUAGAAACUGGCAGGCUUUCAUGGGGGGGCUUUUGAGGCAGAAGAUCAGGGAGACCCUUGGGUAAGCAGAAGCAGCUGGCUACCCGCUUUUCUUUCUCCACUUGGCUCUUGCUACAUCAGCCUCCAGGUAGCUGCUAUAAGGAGAAACAUGAAACAACCCAGAGAAGGCUUCAGAUGGAGAGCUUUGACUCUGAGCAUGGAAAUGGCUUGCCCCUGGGGUCCAAAGCUGCUUGCCUGUCACCAUCAUCAGAGAUGCUUGUGCUGUGAGAUGACCCCCACACUCGAGCUCCUGGGUCAGUCUAUGUCUGAUAAGUUCAACACACAAAUCGCUGUAUUCUGCUUUGCUUCAGCAAUGAACAUUGUCAUCGAACAUUAUUUGUGUGGUCCACAAUGCCCUGGCCAAUGACUCUGGUGCUCAGGCAAGAACCCAUAGGUAUGACUAUUUACGGAAGAAGUUUAUGCAUAUUGGUAUGUGUUUGUCAUUCACGUGGACAUGACAGUGACCUCAUGCUUGGUCUCUGCUGACAUCUGUCAGCCUUGCAAAAAUGCCCACCUUUUGCAUUGUCCUUGCUGGAGCCUUUAUCUUACUCCAUUUUCCUGAUGUUAUGAUAAAAAUACCCCGACGGAAGCAACUUAAGCAGGAAAGGGUCUAUUUUGGCUUAUAAUAGGAGGCGAUAGUUCAACAUGGUGGGGAAGUAAAUAGUAGCAGACACUCCAAGGAGCUGGCCAGACAGCACCUACACCAAGAAGGGGAGGGCGAUGAAUGUCUGUGCACACAUCAGCUUUUCCUCUUCUGCACUCACAGACUGCUACCAUUCAUGGUGGAUGUGUCUUCCCACUAAAGUUCACCUGAUCAAGACGAUCAAUCCAUCGCAGGCAUGCUCAGAGACCUACCUCCCAGCUGAGUCUAGACCUCAUCAAGCUGACAAUUGAGGCUAUCCACCACAGUAUCGAUAAUAAGCAAGGCAGGAUGACUGCUCUCCAGGCACUGGAAAAACCAACAUUUUCCUAAUGAAUGAACGAUGGCAGCCACUCCGUCUCUCUCACUGAGUGCCACGGAAAUUGAGACUGCCAGAGAUUGGCUGUCCUGUGUGAGAAGUCCUGAUUUUUUUAUGGCGACAUCCCAGCACUCGUUCAAAGGAUCCUUCUCCACCAGCAGUGGAGAAAUCAAGACUAAUGGAGGACCUUGUCUCUGAGGUCUUGGCUAGCUUUAGAUUCCUAAUCCGACAAUGAAGUGUGAUAUUUGGAGAAUGUCUCCUUUGUGGGAACUCAAUGGCUCCCUGCCAGGUCAUAACUGGCUUCCUCCAAAGAGUCUUAAACAUGAAGACACGACCAACUCAUUUAUGGCUUCUCUCCAUUAACAGGGAUGCCUUCCUUCCAUGACUGGAGCAAUGACAGCAAAUGGUUCAAAUUAUGCAAAGAAAUAUGACUCAGUUAUAAGACAUUGUAUCGGGAUUCUCUAGAGCACUGUUUCUCAACCUUCCCAAUGCUGUGGCCCUUUUAAUACAGUUCCUCAUGUUGUGGUGACCCCCCAACCAUAAAACUAUUUCCAUUGCUAUUUCAUAACUGUAAUUUUGCUGCUGUUAUGAAUGACAGUGAAAAUACCUCAUAUAUGGGAUGUUUGAUAUGUGACCCCUGAGAAAGGUUUCUGAUCCGCCAAGGGGUUGGGACUUAAAAGUUGAGAACUGCUGCUCUAGAGGCAUGGAUGUCGACAAUGAACAUGUACUCUAAGGGGUAUUUAUUAGCUUGGUUUACACACAGGGGCUGGGCAGUGCAUUGAUAGCUGUUUACAUGCAGUGGAGACAGAGAACCUGGUAGCCAGCCACUCAGACAUGAAGCUGAAUGCCUCUGUAGUCCUAAGCUGCCUCUGAGCUGCCAGGCUUCAGUCAUUGGAAGACUGAAGGUGUCCUUUGGGAUGGCAGUGAAGGGUGGUGGGAGCACAGUGGGAGAGCUGAACUCACCAGAAGAAAGGCAGGUGGCAGAGCUACUCUGUUUUUGCCUUAGACCUCUUAAGGGACACUGAAUUGCCACCCUGUAAAUGGAUUUUUCUUUGGGCUGCCAGCAGCUUGCUCUCUUUCUCUCUCUCUCGCUCUCUCUCUCCUCUCUCACACAAACAGACACAUACAGACACAUAGACAGACACAGGCACACACACACACACACACACACACACACACACACACACACACACACAAAAUGAUGCAGAGACAUAUUAAUCAUAAAAUCUAGGCCUUAGCUUAGGCUUGUUCCUGACUAGUUCUUAUAACUUAAAUUAACCCUUAUAGUAAAUCUAUAUUCUUCCAUGCUCUUGCUACUCAUCUCCAUUUUGCCCAUCUUGCUUUCUCUGUGUUUCCUUCACAUUCACUGGUGACUUCCCCCUUUCUUCUUCCCAGAGCUCUCUGUCCCCCGAAGUUGCCCUAACCUCUUCCUGCCUAGCUAUUGGCCAUUCAGCUCUUUAUCAGACCAACCACAGUGACAUAUCUUCACGUAGAGUAAGGGGAUAUUCUACAACACCACUCUCUGGGGGAGGUCUUCUUCCACGCAGUUAUGUCUUCCUGGAAAUUCACUGGCAGACCUCACCAGAGAGGCACAUCUUUUAGUUUUUCCUAGAUCUCGGGAUUAACCAUCACAGUCAUCUCGGAGGAUAUGAGAACACUGACCACCUUAACAGCUGUGUGUCAGCCUUCUUUAGGCUUUCACAGUACACAAUGUCUUCUGCUUGCUUUGGCUCCUUACUGUUGUCAACUGUCAUGUGAGGCAGGUGCUUCAGCCAUGACCAUUCUAUGAAAGGGUGAAAGUGAGUCUCUGAGCCAUCAGGCAACUUGAGGCUGCUGGGGCCCAGAAAGGAAACCAAGCCUGCCUAACCUCAAAUUCACGUUUGUAAACUGAUUUUGUUGUGUUUCCUUUUGGGAGCUUUUUAUUUUAUUUUUUCUUUGUUUAUUUAUUUUUUGGUUUUUAGAGGCAGGGUUUCUUUUUUUAUUUAAAUUAGAAGCAAGCUUCAUUUACAUGUUAAUCUCAGUUCCUUCUCCCCCCCCCACCACAGGCCCUAUCCCAGCCCCUU